AGUAACGGCGAGUGAACAGGGAAAAGCCCAAAUUUGUAAUCUGGCACUUUUUACAAGUGUCCGAGUUGUAAUUUGUAGAGCUGUUAUCCGUACUGGACCAUGUACAAGUCUGUUGAAAAGCAGCAUCAUUGAAGGUGAAAAUCCUGUAGAUGAUAUGGACUACCAGUAUAUUUGUGAUACGGUUUCUAAGAGUCGAGUUGUUUGGGAAUGCAGCUCAAAGUGGGUGGUAAAUUCCAUCUAAGGCUAAAUAUAAGUGAGAGACCGAUAGCAAACAAGUACCGUGAGGGAAAGAUGAAAAGAACUUUGAAAAUAGAGUUAACAGUACGUGAAAUUGCUGAAAGGGAAACGUUUGAAGUUAGUUUUGUAUUCGUUGGAUCAGCUUCGCAAGGAGUGUAUUCUGAUGAUAAGCAAGUCAACAUCAGUCUAUGAGUGUUGGAUAAGGGUUUUGAGAAUGUAGCAAUUUAAUUGUGUUAUAGCUUGAGACUUGGAUACAAUGCUUUGGAUUGAGGAACGCGUAGUAAGCUUUGAGCGGAUUCGAAAGGAUCUCCUUACUAUGGAUGUUGGUGAAAU
rnacentral:rRNA from 1 species